rnacentral:rRNA from 1 species
UACCCUACGGGACGCAGCAGUGGGGGAUAUUGGACAAUGGGGGGAACCCUGAUCCAGCGACGCCGCGUGAGUGAAGAAGUAUUUCGGUAUGUAAAGCUCUGUCAGCAGGGAAGAAAGAAAUGACGGUACCUGACCAAGAAGCCCCGGCUAACUACGUGCCAGCAGCCGCGGUAAUACGUAGGGGGCAAGCGUUAUCCGGAAUUACUGGGUGUAAAGGGAGCGUGGACGGCAGCACAAGUCUGGAGUGAAAUCCCGGGGCUUAACCCCGGAACUGCUUUGGAAACUGUGCGGCUGGAGUGCAGGAG